AUUUAAACCUCCAAGAAGACAGGUUCAUUAACUCCCUGGUUAGUGGUCAACUCCACUUCUGUUGGAGUGGUUCUCAAAUGAGAACCUUUUUGAUUUCUUGAGGCAAAACAUAAGCUGUUACAAUACUUUUCAUUCGAGCCACAAAAGAGAAUUUAUUGUGGGUAAUAGGAGUUUUUCCACCUACAAAUGUGCUUUGUUUUUUGAUUUUUUUUUUCAGCAGACUUAACUUCCAGACCCUAAUGUAUUGGCAGAGAGGACACUUGACUCCUAUUCAGCAGUUGGGUCUCUGUAUCCAUAGGAUGUGGAAGAACCGUCUGGACUUCCUACUCUGACUGGGAAGGAGAAGAGCUUCAAUGUCGCAGCCAAAGAACAACAAGAAGGGACACCCCGAUUCCAUUCUAUGUACCUGUGUGAUUUCCCCAAGAUGACAGCAGGAAAGACCACAUUUUCUCAUCUCCUUCGUUCUUUCCAAGAAACCCAGCUUUUCUGGGACACAGACAGAGACCCCAGAGACCAAGGAGCCAAGCAAGAGUGUAAUUCUUUGUCCUUGAAUCGGGCUAACCCAGAAUAAAGCCAGCCAUGCUCUCCCUGUGGACUGUCUGCAGCCUUUUUAAAUAAAUGCAAUUUAGUCUGCGUUGCUGCACACGGCUCUUGGUCACCAGGGGAGUGGCAGGGGAAGGGCGAAUAACACGGACUCAGAGAUGGAGCAGCUCAUCCGGGGGCAACAUCGGCUGGUCCACACGUUAAGGACUAACUGCAUUCCAAUUCUUUCUUUCUUUUCUUGAUACUAAUAGUGUUUCUAUCUUUAUUUAUUUUUGCAGUGCUG
rnacentral:lncRNA from 1 species